UUGACCUCGGAUCAGGUAGGGAUACCCGCUGAACUUAAGCAUAUCAAUAAGCGGAGGAAAAAAAACCAACAGGGAUUGCUCAUACGAG
rnacentral:rRNA from 1 species